UACGUAGGUGACCAGCGUUGUCCGGAUUUACUGGGCGUAAAGAGCACGCAGGCGGUCGUUCAAGUCGAGUGUGAAAGCCCCCGGCUCAACUGGGGAGGGUCACUUGAUACUGAUCGACUCGAAGGCAGGAGAGGGAAGCGGAAUUCCCGGUGUAGUGGUGAAAUGCGUAGAUAUCGGGAGGAACACCAGUGGCGAAGGCGGCUUCCUGGCCUGUUCUUGACGCUGAGGCGCGAAAGCUAGGGGAGCAAACGGG
rnacentral:rRNA from 1 species